rnacentral:rRNA from 1 species
GACGAACCGUGCGAACGUUGUUCGGAAUCACUGGGCUUAAAGGGCGCGUAGGCGGGCAGGCAAGUCAGGGGUGAAAGCCCACGGCUCAACCGUGGAAGUGCCUUUGAUACUGCCGGUCUUGAGGGAGGUAGGGGCGUGCGGAACUUCCGGUGGAGCGGUGAAAUGCGUAGAUAUCGGAAGGAACACCGGUGGCGAAAGCGGCGCGCUGGACCACAACUGACGCUGAGGCGCGAAAGCUAGGGGAGCAAACAGG